rnacentral:lncRNA from 1 species
CGUCAACCGUUCUUUGAAGAUCUCCACCGCCCACCGCCUCCUCCCAAACCUCCGCCGCCUUCUUUGCCUUCACGUUUAUCUUUCUUUGUCCCGAAGGCUUGCAGGUUCAUUUUUUUUUUAAUUAUAUUACAGAUUUGAUAUAUAUGAUGUGAUGUGGCUGAUGUAUUUAAUUGAGAUGUUUUAUGAUCAUCUGCAUGUUUGGUUCGUGGAUCCAAACCAUUUAUUCAUAUUUAAUUACCGAUUUAUUUGAAGUUUUUUUUUUUCUGAAACUAUUAAAAAUGAUGAUUUUAAUUCGUACUUACAUUUUAAGAUCUCGUCAACUGAAUUUUGUACUUUCCGAUUUGUAAUUACAGAAUGCUUUGUUCCAAUAUAUAUAUAUAUAUAUAUAUAUAUAUAUAUAUAUAUAUAUAUAUAUAUAUAUAUAUAUAUAUAUAUAUAUAUAUAUAUAUAUGCGUGUGUGAUUUUCAUGUUUUGAUGAGUUUUUAGAUUUUAAGAUCUUAGUAACUAAAUUUGGUAAGUACUUUUAGAUUUGUAUUUACUGAAUGUGAAUUCUAUAUCGCAUCUAAGGAUCAAGUGUAAUGUGCCCAUUAAGGAACAUAUGAAAUCCUAAUUUUUUUUUUGAUUUGAUGCAUUUUUUAAGAGCCGAUCAAUUUAUGAGAUCAUUAUUGGGAAGGAAAGAAUGAAAGAACAUGAUACAUUUUUGAGCCCGAUAUCCCAUUUGAAUAUACUUAUUUUGAUUUUUCAGUGAAUGCAUCUAAACACCGAACAUUUUUUAUCAUCAUUAAAUGUACGUAGAUAGAGUUUUUUCGUUUUAUCGCACUUACAAUCACAAAUUUGUAACUAUGCAUCUACAUACUUUUUUUCUAAAUUUACCGAUUUCCUUGUCUUUAAUUACGUGAACAUUUUCAUAUGAAAGAAGAUUACGUAAUCUCACUCUUUGUUUCUUUUUUGGACAGGACAAAGUUUAGAAAGUCCCUCUUCUAUGUAAUUUAUUCUUGACCUACCGAUGAAGUUUUGGUAGAGGAGAGUCUCAAACAAUAUUCUUGACAGCGGCACAAUAAUGACAAUACCAACUUCCAUGAGGCACAGUGGCAUGGGGCAGACUCAAGAAGUAUGAAUGAUACUCUGCAUCGUACACUCUACGUAAAUGAGAACCCUCUUAUUUUUCCUUUUCUGGUCAAUACCAUCUCUAUGCACGCAUUUGAUAACAAAAACAUAUUCGGGAUCUUUCUUUGAAUCCGCAUUUGGAAUAAUGACACACAUUUAAAUCCCUACAUUU